rnacentral:rRNA from 1 species
AACGUAGGACGCGAACGUUAUCCGGAGUUACUGGGCGUAAAGAGCGCGCGGGCGGUGUGCUAAGUUACCUAUGAAAGUUACUGGCUAAACUGGUAAUAGUUAGGUAAGACUGGCGUACUAGGGUAAAAUAGAGGGAAGUGGAAUUCCCGGUGUAGCGGUGAAAUGCGUAGAGAUCGGGAGGAAUACCAGUGGCGAAGGCGGCCUUCUGGACUGACACUGACACUGAGGUGCGAAAGCGUGGGUAGCAAACAGG